GCCUUCGUGGUGUAGUGGUCAGCACGCUCGACGCGUAUUCGAGAGGUCCAUGGUUCGAGUCCCGGCGAGGGCG
rnacentral:tRNA from 1 species